AACCUCUUUUAUCAGGGAAGAAGAACUGACGGUACCUGAUGAAUCAGCAUCGGCUAACUCCGUGCCAGCAGCCGCGGUAAUACGGAGGAUGCAAGCGUUAUCCGGAAUUAUUGGGCGUAAAGCGUCCGUAGGUGGUUUUACAAGUCUGCUGUCAAAGCGUGGAGCUCAACUCCAUACCGGCAGUGGAAACUGUGAGACUAGAGUGCGAUAGGGGUGACGGGAAUUCCCAGUGUAGCGGUGAAAUGCGUAGAGAUUGGGAAGAACACCAGCGGCGAAAGCGCGUCACUGGGUCUGCACUGACACUGAGGGACGAAAGCUAGGGGAGCGAAAGGGAUUAGAUACCCCUGUAGUCCUAGCUGUAAACGAUGGAUACUAGGUGUGGUUCGUAUCGACCCGAGCCGUGCCGGAGCUAACGCGUUAAGUAUCCCGCCUGGGGAGUACGCACGCAAGUGUGAAACUCAAAGGAAUUGACGGGGGCCCGCACAAGCGGUGGAGUAUGUGGUUUAAUUCGAUGCAACGCGAAGAACCUUACCAAGGCUUGACAUGUCUGGAACCCUUUUGAAAGAGAGGGGUGCCUUCGGGAACCAGAACACAGGUGGUGCAUGGCUGUCGUCAGCUCGUGUCGUGAGAUGUUGGGUUAAGUCCCGCAACGAGCGCAACCCACGUUUUUAGUUGCCAUCAGGUAAAGCUGGGCACUCUAGAGAGACUGCCGGUGACAAACCGGAGGAAGGUGUGGAUGACGUCAAGUCAGCAUGCCCCUUACGCCUUGGGCUACACACGUACUACAAUGCUACGGACAGAGGGACGCCAACCCGCGAGGGUGCGCAAAUCUCGUAAACCGUGGCACAGUUCAGAUUGCAGGCUGCAACUCGCCUGCAUGAAGGCGGAAUCGCUAGUAAUCGCCGGUCAGCAUACGGCGGUGAAUACGUUCCCGGGCCUUGUACACACCGCCCGUCACACCAUGGGAGUUGGUCAUGCCCGAAGUCGUUACUCCAACCGUUCGCGGAGGGGGACGCCGAAGGUGGGGCUGAUGACUGGGGUGAAGUCGUAACAAGGUAGCCGUACCGGAAGGUGUGGCUGGAUCACCUCCUUUUAGGGAGACCUACCCCUUGGCAACGUCGUCUAGAGGAGUGGGAAGCAGUCUGUUUUUCCACUUUUAAGGCAAAGUGCCAAGCUGGUCACUCAAGGUCGAUCAAAGAUUAAGUGUUGGCUUCUAAACUAGUUGGGUUCGGGUUAUGGGCUAUUAGCUCAGGUGGUUAGAGCGCACCCCUGAUAAGGGUGAGGUCCCUGGUUCGAGUCCAGGAUGGCCCACCUUACAUAUUUGGGGGUUUAGCUCAGUUGGUAGAGCGCCUGCUUUGCAAGCAGGAUGUCAGCGGUUCGAGUCCGCUAACCUCCACUGAGCGCAGCCGUUUUAGUUGAAGGCUUCAACUGAGGUCAAGGUUUGCCCAGCCUCGAUUGUUUGCGUGAUGGAUAGAUUCAGCAACAGCAUUAGCAUGACUAAUCUGACUGCUGGGUUCAAUCCAGCAAGAACCAUGAAAACUGCAUAGAGAAAAGCAAAGAAGUCAGGUAGAAGUUUAUUGUUCUGCUCUGCUAGGCAGGGAGAAUUCCUGUGCAUAGCCAUAGUGGGCAAUAACGCUUCAUAGACACCA
rnacentral:misc_RNA from 1 species